UCCCUGGUGGUCUAGUGGUUAGGAUUCGGCGCUUUCACUGCUGCAGCCUGGGUUCAAUCCCCAGUCUGGGAC
rnacentral:tRNA from 1 species